GAUGAACGCUGGCGGCGUGCCUAAUACAUGCAAGUCGAGCGAACAGACGAGGAGCUUGCUCCUCUGACGUUAGCGGCGGACGGGUGAGUAACACGUGGAUAACCUACCUAUAAGACUGGGAUAACUUCGGGAAACCGGAGCUAAUACCGGAUAAUAUAUUGAACCGCAUGGUUCAAUAGUGAAAGACGGUUUUGCUGUCACUUAUAGAUGGAUCCGCGCCGCAUUAUCUAGUUGCUAAGGUAACGGCUUACCAAGGCAACGAUGCGUAGCCGACCUGAGAGGGUGAUCGGCCACACUGGAACUGAGACACGGUCCAGACUCCUACGGGAGGCAGCAGUAGGGAAUCUUCCGCAAUGGGCGAAAGCCUGACGGAGCAACGCCGCGUGAGUGAUGAAGGUCUUCGGAUCGUAAAACUCUGUUAUUAGGGAAGAACAAAUGUGUAAGUAACUAUGCACGUCUUGACGGUACCUAAUCAGAAAGCCACGGCUAACUACGUG
rnacentral:rRNA from 1 species